UACCUUCUCAGGUGAUGGGAUUAAUGUACCUGGGGAGGAACAGAAAGAGGCAGAAGCUACCCUGGUACUCCAGUUACAAACCUUGGUAGUGAGGGGGCAUGCCACCAUUGUGGGCAGAGCAGAGCUCAUCAGCAUUGGCUGUUCCCAGCAAAAAAUCAGCAAGAUUUUCUUCAGCUGACAAUUCUCUGAUCAUUAGUAAUUGCUCUAUGGGACGGAGAGGACACAAUUCUAAUCAGUAAAGGAGUAGUUGGCAGAUUUCACUGUCUGAUAUCAUGAACUGGAGAGAAAGAAGAGCAGGCUUUGCUUUGGGGAUGUUAGAAACACCUCAUGUUAAAAGCAUCCUGGAUGUAGCAGCCAUCCUGGGAGAGCCAGUAAUGCUCAGAGCCCAGACUUGCCCUGCUGGAUCUCAGUCUUCACUGGAGCAGGGGCUGCCAAGGGCCGACCCCCCACGCCUGGCUGCUUCGGGCCUGCCUGACUAGGCAGAUGCGCAGCCACUCCAUCGGAAUGGAGGAUCUGGCUCAGGGGAGGACACCACCACACCAUGUGGACCUGGCUGGGAGCCUGAGGGCGGAGAAGGAGUAUGAAAAGAGAGGAAGACAGCUGCUGGACAUGGAAACUUUUAAAUGCAUAAUGCAGCAGAGUAUGAGGUCACAAAAUAAAAAUACUGAACAAAUAGAACAACUUUUCAUGAAAAUAGACUAUGAAUCAAUGGGCAGAAUUCAAUGGGAUGGCUUCUGCACGUAUUUGCAGCUAGAGUAUUCAGAGCAAGUGGAUGCUUUGGCCCAAGAGAAAGAGGUUUCCUUCCAGCUGCCUGCUGCGCUGCAAGGGCUGUCAUAUGGGGGUCCCGUGCUGCGCAUUCUCUCUAUGCCUGACGACACCGUAAUCAUGAUCAGAGAAGAUGGAGCGAUUUAUUUCUGGUCCCUGCAGCUGAAGUUGAAAAGAAGAAAGAGAGUUUUUGACAAGUCCAUGAGUUGGAAGCCCAGGUCGAUGACAGAUGUCAUCGGCAUGCCACAGUACAACAAACUGAUCAUAGGGACUAGAAACCGUGAAAUCCAGCUAUGUGAAUUCUCCAACUGGGAGCCUUACUGUCAGAUCAGUGGCUUAGAAGGUGUUCCUCUGAAACUGGACUACUGGGAUGCAUGA
rnacentral:lncRNA from 1 species